UGGGGAAUAUUGCACAAUGGGCGCAAGCCUGAUGCAGCCAUGCCGCGUGUAUGAAGAAGGCCUUCGGGUUGUAAAGUACUUUCAGCGGGGAGGAAGGUGUUUGAGGUUAAUAACCUCAGCAAUUGACGUUACCCGCAGAAGAAGCACCGGCUAACUCCGUGCCAGCAGCCGCGGUAAUAACGGAGGGUGCAAGCGUUAAUCGGAAUUACUGGGCGUAAAGCGCACGCAGGCGGUCUGUCAAGUUCGGAUGUGAAAUCCCCGGGCUCAACCUGGGAACUGGCAUUCGAAACUGGCAGGCUGGAGUCUUGUAGAGGGGGUAGAAUUCCAGGUGUAGCGGUGAAAUUG
rnacentral:rRNA from 1 species